rnacentral:rRNA from 1 species
UACGGGGGGAGCAAGCGUUGUUCGGAUUUACUGGGCAUAAAGGGCGCGUAGGCGGUCGUGACAAGUCACUUGUGAAAUCUCCGGGCUUAACUCGGAAAGGUCAAGUGAUACUGUCGGACUAGAGUACAGAAGGGGCAACUGGAAUUCUCGGUGUAGCGGUGAAAUGCGUAGAUAUCAAGAGGAACACCUGAGGCGAAGGCGGGUUGCUAGGCUGACACUGACGCUGAGUGCGCGAAAGCCAGGGGAGCAAACGGG